GAGCUUGCUCAGAUAUGACGAUGGACAUUGCAAAGAGUGGCGAACGGGUGAGUAACACGUGGGAAACCUACCUCUUAGCAGGGGAUAACAUUUGGAAACAGAUGCUAAUACCGUAUAACAAUGACAACCGCAUGGUUGUUAUUUGAAAGAUGGUUCUGCUAUCACUAAGAGAUGGUCCCGCGGUGCAUUAGCUAGUUGGUAAGGUAAUGGCUUACCAAGGCGAUGAUGCAUAGCCGAGUUGAGAGACUGAUCGGCCACAAUGGGACUGAGACACGGCCCAUACUCCUACGGGAGGCAGCAGUAGGGAAUCUUCCACAAUGGGCGAAAGCCUGAUGGAGCAACGCCGCGUGUGUGAUGAAGGGUUUCGGCUCGUAAAACACUGUUGUAAGAGAAGAAUGACAUUGAGAGUAACUGUUCAAUGUGUGACGGUAUCUUACCAGAAAGGAACGGCUAAAUACGUGCCAGCAGCCGCGGUAAUACGUAUGUUCCAAGCGUUAUCCGGAUUUAUUGGGCGUAAAGCGAGCGCAGACGG
rnacentral:rRNA from 1 species